GAAUUCCCCAACAGGAGCAGGUGUUAGUAUUCAGGACACGGUGUAAGGCUCACCUGCCUCGGCCUUGAGGUCAUGUGGCUGCCAGUUGAAGGAGGGUUACGGGGGGCUGCCUAGACUAGAUCAUGUGGCAUAGAGCCCCUGACAGGCCACGAGCCAGAGAAUGGGUGUGCCACCUCCAGGUCCCCCAGGCGUAACUGGAGCCUCAGGAGGUGUGUGCUCAGAGAGAAUUUCCACUCCUUGGACAUAAUCCUGAGGAGAUGACAACACCAGUGCCAGUGGUUACCCUACCACUGAGUGGGACAGGAUGGAGAAAUGUCCUGAAAAGAGCAAUUCACAAUAGCAAAGACUUGGAACCAACUCAAAUGUCCAUCAAUGAUAGACUGGAUUA
rnacentral:lncRNA from 10 species